UGAGAUAUAUCCUCGUGGAUGACGGUUUCUUCCGUUUCCUCCCAACACAUAUAUUGGGAUGGAUAUUCCUAUUUGAGUUAUAUCCGCAUUAGGAUGAGUCUUGAUUCAGUCUGUCUUUUCCGUUUGAUCCUGAAUUGGCAUUUUUCAACUGUUUUUUGUGCUUCCCUGUGGAAUGAAUGAAUGAAUUUCCCAGUAACCGACAAUAA
rnacentral:lncRNA from 1 species